UGGUGUUUGUCAUGGCAAGCAGACGGCACCAGGAGAAAUGGAGCCCCUGCCAUUGUGUGAGUCGGAGCAGUACAGGAGGGGAGACCCUGAAGGAAACAGCCCAAUUAAAUUGAAUCCUGCAGAUUGAAUUCCAGAGGCUUAGGAGGAGUUCUUCA
rnacentral:lncRNA from 1 species